UACGGGGGGUGCAAGCGUUGUUCGGAUUUACUGGGCGUAAAGGGCGCGUAGGCGGCGUGACAAGUCACUUGUGAAAUCUCCGGGCUUAACCCGGAGCGGCCAAGUGAUACUGUCGUGCUAGAGUGCGGAAGGGGCUACUGGAAUUCUCGGUGUAGCGGUGAAAUGCGUAGAUAUCGAGAGGAACACCUGCGGCGAAGGCGGGUAGCUGGGCCGACACUGACGCUGAGGCGCGAAAGCUAGGGGAGCAAACGGG
rnacentral:rRNA from 1 species